AUGAACUUUAUUGCAGAGUUGGGUCAGAUUAAUCAGCGCCAUGAACAUUAUACUCCUGCAAGAGAUGUUGGGCUUAAUCCAACAGUGAAUAAGUGGAUUUCUCCACCUCCUGAUAAGGUGAAAAUUAAUAUAGAGGCGGCAGUUUGUCCACAUGGAAAUUUCGGUACCGCAGCUGCAGUUUGCAGAAGCGAGCAAGGCGAGUUUUUGGGAACUUUAGUUUCUGUUAUAUAUGGUCUUUCGGAUCCAUCUUCUCUUAAAGCAGUGGCUUGUCGAGAUGCUCUUUCUCUGGCAGAAGAUCUUGGACUACAGCAGCUUCAUAUUGCAUGGGAUUACAAGAAUCUCAUUAAACACAUACACGAAUCAUGA
rnacentral:rRNA from 1 species